AUGGUGAAAGCUGUUGUUACAAUGAAAAAGAUAUUUGCUCCAGGACAAGCAUAUCUAGCAUUAAGUCGAGUGACCUCUCUUGAUGGACUCAUCAUAGAAGAUUUAAAUGAAAAAGCUAUUUUUGCAAAAGAUAACAUUGAGCAAGCACUACAGAAUAUGCCUCCAUUCAUUGUUUCAUGUGAAACAACAGAAACUUUUAAAUUCAAAAUGAUGUUACAUAAUGUUGAAGGACUGAUCCCACACAUAUUAGAUAUUUUCCAAGAUAAAAGAUAUUUUGAAGCAGAUAUGAUAUGUGUAACAGAGACAUGGCUAAAACCAAACUAUUUGGAGAAUGCUGUUAGUCUUGCUGGCUACUUUUUCAAUGACAAACCACGUAGUGCUGCAUAUGACACAAGUCAGGAUGUUUUUGCUAAACUAAAAGAUGAAAAUCAUGGUGGUGUUGGUAUAUAUCACAAAGAAAAAGUCAAAGUUGCUUUAUUGGAUUUACCAUGCAUUCACAUUGAAUGUAUGUUAUGCAGGAUAGAACAUUUGAACACAACUGUGGCAGUUGUAUACAGACCACCAUCAUAUAACAUGCCAUUAUUUAAAGAGAACUUGAUUAACCUAAUUAAUGAAAUGAACUGCCUCCCAGGUGGUAAAAUAAUUCUAGGAGAUUUCAAUGAAGAUAUUUUCAGUAAAUCAAGUGUUCAUGAUGUCAUGCAGCAUUCUGGUUUCAGGCUAAUUGUUGGAAAAGCAACAACUGAAAAUGGCACAUUAAUUGAUCUUGUAUAUGUAAAAGAUCUUGACUUGAAUGAAACACAGAUUGAUAUCAUGCCCACAUAUUUUAGCGGUCAUGAAUGCAUUGUGUUGAAACUGUUAUUAUAAUUAGGGUUGUACAUAUAUGUCACAUGUGCUAUGAAAAAUUGGUCUAUGCAAUGAAUAAAUUUACCACUGUAGCAUGUGUGUGAUACAAUUUUUUCUUGUUCAAAAAACACAGGUGCUUAAUAGUGUGACGUGAUUUCAUUGUGCUGGUUGUGUGUGUGUGAGAUUUAUUAUACUUGGUAUUUUGGGGUGUGACAAUUUU
ensembl:lncRNA